rnacentral:rRNA from 1 species
UACGAAGGGGGCUAGCGUUGUUCGGAAUUACUGGGCGUAAAGCGCACGUAGGCGGAUUGUUAAGUCAGAGGUGAAAUCCCGGAGCUCAACUUCGGAACUGCCUUUGAUACUGGCAAUCUAGAGUCCGGAAGAGGUUAGUGGAAUUCCUGGUGUAGCGGUGAAAUGCGCAGAUAUCAGGAAGAACACCCGUGGCGAAGGCGGCUCUCUGGGACGGUACUGACGCUGAGACGCGAAAGCGUGGGGAGCGAACAGG